rnacentral:rRNA from 1 species
GACGAACGCUGGCGGCGUGCUUAACACAUGCAAGUCGAACGGUGAAGGGGUCUGCUUUUGUGGGCCCUGGAUGAGUGGCGAACGGGUGAGUAACACGUGAGUAACCUGCCCCCUUCUUCUGGAUAACCGCAUGAAAGUGUGGCUAAUACGGGAUAUUCUGGGUCUGUCGCAUGAUGGGUCUGGGAAAGAUUGCGCCUUUGGGUGUUUUUGGUGGGGGAUGGGCUCGCGGCCUAUCAGCUUGUUGGUGGGGUGAUGGCCUACCAAGGCGGUGACGGGUAGCCGGGCGGAGAGGGGGGACGGUCACACUGGGACUGAGACACGGCCCAGACUCCUACGGGAGGCAGCAGUGGGGAAUAUUGCACAAGGGGCGCAAGCCUGAUGCAGCGACGCCGCGUGAGGGAGGGAGGCCUUCGGGUUGUAAACCUCUUUCGCCAGUGAAGCAGGCCUGCUCCUUGUGGGUGGGUUGACGGUAGCUGGAUAAGAAGCGCCGGCUAACUACGUG